UGUAAACGAUGUCGAUUGGAAGUUGUGCCCUGAGGCGUGGCUUCCGGAGCUAACGCGUUAAAUCGACCGCCUGGGGAGUACGGCCGCAAGGUUAAAACUCAAAUGAAUUGACGGGGGCCCGCACAAGCGGUGGAGCAUGUGGUUUAAUUCGAUGCAACGCGAAGAACCUUACCUACUCUUGACAUCCAGAGAACUUUCCAGAGAUGGAUUGGUGCCUUCGGGAACUCUGAGACAGGUGCUGCAUGGCUGUCGUCAGCUCGUGUUGUGAAAUGUUGGGUUAAGUCCCGCAACGAGCGCAACCCUUAUCCUUUGUUGCCAGCGGUUCGGCCGGGAACUCAAAGGAGACUGCCAGUGAUAAACUGGAGGAAGGUGGGGAUGACGUCAAGUCAUCAUGGCCCUUACGAGUAGGGCUACACACGUGCUACAAUGGCGUAUACAAAGAGAAGCGACCUCGCGAGAGCAAGCGGACCUCAUAAAGUACGUCGUAGUCCGGAUUGGAGUCUGCAACUCGACUCCAUGAAGUCGGAAUCGCUAGUAAUCGUAGAUCAGAAUGCUACGGUGAAUACGUUCCCGGGCCUUGUACACACCGCCCGUCACACCAUGGGAGUGGGUUGCAAAAGAAGUAGGUAGCUUAACCUUCGGGAGGGCGCUUACCACUUUGUGAUUCAUGACUGGGGUGAAGUCGUAACAAGGUAACCA
rnacentral:rRNA from 1 species